rnacentral:lncRNA from 1 species
UGAACUGUGAUAGAUACAUUGUGAUCUGUUAUAGAUACAUUGAAAAGCCGUCAACAGAGAUCAGCAUUGGGGAUCUGUCAUACAGAAGAUAUUUUUCCACAGUAACUAAGGCGUGGUGCGAACUCCUGCUCAACUUCUGCCUGAUGUGCACUUUCUUAAGGUCUAGUCAAAAUUUUCCAGAGGAUUCCUUCCUGCACACUGCCCAUCAUUCUCAGGUAGCAGCUUUCCCCCAGUCCCUUGGAAUUCACAUCCAUUUUGGCUCUUCAACCCUCCCAGAAUUGGAAUAUGGUCACAGAAACCCUCUGUUUCCUUCCAACAACUCUUGGCUUAGUGACAAGGGUCAGAAAGAGGAAGGAGUUAGGACCAUCCAAUAUUCUCUGAAUGUACACCCCCCAAUGACUUAAAGACUCCCCAUGAGGCCCUCCCUAACAAGGUUCUUCUCAUUAUAUC